ACCAGGUCCAGACAUUAGAAGGAUUGACAGAUUGAUAGCUCUUUCAUGAUUUAAUGGGUGGUGGUGCAUGGCCGUUCUUAGUUGGUGGAGUGAUUUGUCUGGUUAAUUCCGAUAACGAACGAGACCUUUACCAUACUAAAUAGUUUGAUUUAUUCAUUUAUGAAUAGAUUUUCAAUAUUNAAAACUUCUUAGAGGGACUAUUGGUUAUCAAACCAAAGGAAGUAAAGGCAAUAACAGGUCUGUGAUGCCCUUAGAUGUUCUGGGCUGCACGCGCGCUACAAUGAUGAACUCAACGAGUUUAUAUUGAUUUAUUUCGAUAGCUUACUGUAUUGGAAAAUAUGGUUAAUCUUAAACGUUCAUCGUGCUUGGGAUAGAUGAUUGAAAUUAUUUAUCUUGAACCAGGAAUUCCUAGUAAUCGUAUAUCAUCAGUGUGCGAUGAUUACGUCCCUGCCCCU
rnacentral:rRNA from 1 species